CUAAGAAUAUUCCGCAAUGGACGAAAGUCUGACGGAGCGACGCCGCGUGGAUGAAGAAGGCCGAAAGGUUGUAAAGUUCUUUUGCUGGGGAAGAAUAACCAUGGGUGGGAAUGCCCGUGGGAUGACAUGAACCGACGAAUAAGCCCCGGCUAACUACGUGCCAGCAGCCGCGGUAACACGUAGGGGGCGAGCGUUGUUCGGAAUUACUGGGCGUAAAGGGCAUGUAGGCGGUCUUGUAGGCUUGGCGAGAAAGACCACG
rnacentral:rRNA from 1 species